GUUAGGAAUAUUGGACAAUGGGCGCAAGCCUGAUCCAGCCAUGCCGCGUGAGUGAUGAAGGCCUUCGGGUUGUAAAGCUCUUUAGUCCACGAAUAUAAUGACUGUAGUGGAAGAAUAAGCCCCGGCUAACUUCGUGCCAGCAGCCGCGGUAAUACGAAGGGGGCGAGCGUUAUUCGGAAUCACUGGGCGUAAAGCGUGCGUAGGCUGUUUUGUAAGUCAGAAGUGAAAGCCCAGUGCUUAACCCUGGAAUUGCUUUUGAAACUACAAGACUCGAAUUCGGGAGAGGAUAGCGGAAUUGUCAGUGUAGCAGUGAAAUGCGUAGAUAUUGACAGGAACACCAGUGGCGCAAGCGGCUAUCUGGACCGAUAUUGACGCUGAGGCACGAAAGCGUGGGGAGCAAACAGGAUUAGAAACCCUAGUAGUCC
rnacentral:rRNA from 1 species